rnacentral:misc_RNA from 1 species
CGAGAUGAUUGGUGGCGUACUUCUUUUGUUUCCCUUCUAUCGAAACCUCCCCUUAGUCCUCAGGGGCCUUCUCUGCUUAUUGCUCGCUCCUCCCAAGCGGCUUCGCUCGAUCAACAUUUGAGCCACAGCCUCUGCGUCAGCGUUGGCGUCCAUCGACUAGAAGCCUUUGCAGUCAUUCACGGCAUUCCACGCACUGCCUCGGUCAUUACUUUUGGUAGCGUUGGCCGACGAGACGCACACAGAAAGAGACGGAAAAGAUGUCUGUCGAAAGCGCGUCUGGGAGCGCAAAGCUGUCCCUCACCUCCUCCGAGGACGGGGAGAGCUACGGUCUCCUGCAUGACGGCACCCGGUUCCGUGUUCCGGACACCAUGUCAGUGAUGGACGCACUCUUGACACCCAAGUCGUGGCGGAGUCCGGCGACGCUCAUCUGGAUCGCGUCCUGGUUCGCCGUGGGGAUGACGGGGCUGCUCUACUUCACCCACGGGCUGCCUAUGUGGUUCUUCUGCGCUCACUUUGCCUUCUGGCGACUCGCGUACAACAUUGGCAUCGGUGCCAUUCUGCACUACCACUCGCGGUACGGCUCUUUCCUUAAGUUCUACCGUCGCAUUGUCAACGAUUACCCGAUUACCCGACGCCUUCUGGAGGCGUCCGUUGUCUUCCAGGACAACACCGAGUACAAGGUGUCCAGUUUUCCGGACGAGUUCAACGCUUGGAUGCUGUUCCGCCAGAUUGAGAACGUCAUUCUCGCCAACGACCUUGUCUCGUACUGCGUGCUUUCGGUUGUCUGCUGGGAGAAGAUGAGCCUCAGAUCGCCCAUGGACAUUUGCUGUUUCGUAUUUGGCUGCGCCUCCAUCGCGUUUGCACUCUGGAGCAAGUUCGACGUGCACCGCGUCAUUGGCGACUUCGCCUGGUACUGGGGCGACUUUUUCUUUCUCCUCGACAAAAACCUCACCUUCGACGGCAUCUUCCAAAUGUUCCCACAUCCGAUGUAUACGGUCGGCUACGCCUUCAUGUAUGGCGUGCCGGUCAUGGCCAAGUCCUACACGCUCUUCUACAUGAGCGUCUUUGGGCACCUGUGCCAGCUGGCGUUCCUGGCGUUUGUGGAGAAUCCGCACAUUGACCGCACCUAUAACGUACUGUCGUCACCGACGCCGGAGGAGCAGCAGCGGCAUGCCGUGCUGUACGGGAACGGUAGUGAGGCCUACCUGGAGCACAACGAGCUUGUGGUGCUCAUGCACUUCGACAUAUUCCGCGCCAGUGACCUUCUUUUAGCCUUGACGAUCAUCUAUCUGCUGGCGACGCUGCUGCUGCCCCUCCCGGCGUGGGUCUACGCGGCUCACGUGAUGGCCUGGCGUCUCUUUCACAACGGCUUUCUCGGCUACCUGCUGAAGCGGGAGUCGUGCGAGAAGUGGUUCUCCCGGAACUACGCCUCGCCGCAGGCCGCCUUCAACAACUGGAAGCGCAUCUACAACGCGAGUGUCACAAUCACAAACCUGUCCUACUGCCUCUGCGCCGUCAAGUACUUUACCUGGGCGAUGCCGCUUUUCAGCAGUGGCGAGGCACGCUGCUUCGUGAUGAUCGUCGGCACGCUUCUUGUCGGCAUCAACGCGUACGUGAGCUGGAGCAUAUACGAGGCCAUCGGUGACUACGGCUACUUCUACGGUGACUUCUUCAUCGAGAACGUCCCGGCAAAGCUGAACUACAGCGGCAUCUACCGCUAUCUAAAUAACCCAGACUCGUCGCUCGGAAUGUCAGCCUACUACGGCAUCGCACUGCUGUCCGGCAGCCCGGUGGUGCUGGUGGUGGCUAUGAUGUCCCACGCGGCUGCGAAGAUCUUUGAGGCUGUCGUUGAGGAACCGCACAUGCGCAAGCGCUACGGUGACCAAGUUCGCGAGGCUGGUGGGAUGCAAGCGGAGUUUGUGCGGCGCAUGAAGGUGUCGAAGGCGGAGUACGACAAGAAGAUGCGCGCCAUUAAGGCAAAGCUGGAAUGUCGCAAGAAACAGUAAGCGCGCGAUCACACCGACCUUUGCGGAGGUUGCCACUCUGGCAGACAUGUGUGUGCCUCUCCUCUUCGAUGAUUUUUUUUUUGACGGGGCAGGGGCGCGGGGCCUGCGAGAAUUCGAGCUGAACAGCGGUGGGGGCUGACCACACCCACUGUUGGCGUCGACGUCGCGCCAUCGGAACGUGUAGUGCACAGCGAAGGCUUGAAUGCGAGUGCUUGUGCCUCUGUUGGUGUCCACCAUUAAUCAGCUAUAUAUGUAAGGUGGGGUGUGGGCGAAGGGACGGCGGCCGCUACAGCGGUUUGCCUUUGUGCCCUUUUCGCUCUGCGUGCCGUUUUCUUGCACUUUUGCCGUUUCUCUCUCUUUUGUGCGACGCCUUCUUCUAUCAGCGCCCGUGAGGAGGGGGGGAUGAUGAAAUGGGUGGCAAAGUAGACAACAGAACGAAGUGGAAUCGCGCAGGCUCGUCAACGUGCAAUGGCGACACCGCUCCGCCGUCUCUAUCGCUUUUCACCCCUUCCCUUUUGUGGGCUUCUGUUGUUUUUCUUCUGUUGAACAACAACG